UACGGAGGAUGCAAGCGUUAUCCGGAAUCAUUGGGUUUAAAGGGUCCGCAGGCGGGUUGUUAAGUCAGGGGUGAAAUCUUACAGCUCAACUGUAAAAUUGCCUUUGAUACUGGCAAUCUUGAAUCAUUGUGAAGUGGUUAGAAUGUGUAGUGUAGCGGUGAAAUGCUUAGAUAUUACACAGAAUACCGAUUGCGAAGGCAGAUCACUAACAAUGUAUUGACGCUCAGGGACGAAAGCGUGGGAAGCAAACAGG
rnacentral:rRNA from 1 species